CUGCAGCCUGGGACCCGAUGACGUCACCGCGGAGCAGUGUGAUUCCCAUUGGCUGAUUCAGGCGGUGUUCCAUUGUGGACGUCACAACGCGGAAGUUGGACAAUGAGCUUCAGACUAAAACUUGCACCUCUGGGCAACAUCUGACAACCUGUGGGAAACUGAUCCCGGGAGUCUCCAGGAUGAGUUUGAGUGAUUCGGCCAGCAGAGGGAUGAUAAUGCUAUGACUGAACAAGCAGGAUAUUAGAAGGGGAGGAUUUGCGGACAGAAAUCUCAAAACAAACAUCACAUGAAGAUCUGACAGUCAAUCGAUUCAUCAGGACCUGAAUAUGAUCAGCCUUUGAAUCUAGAAGGAGAAACGGUUGUCUGUUUUGUCUGCUUCAAAAGGUUUUAAACAUCAGUGUAACUGGAAAAGUUCUGAGACACAGACACCCGAGUGAGAGUGUUCCAGUGCACUGACUGCGGAAAGAGCUUUAACUAAUUUCUCAGCUUGAGAAAAACAUCACACCGUUCACAGCGUUGAGAGACCAUACACGUGUUCUGUGUGAAGACGAAGCUUCAACUAAUUGUAGAACCUGGAGAGACACAAGGACACGCGCACCAUGGAGAAACUGUGGAAAUGUGGGGACUGUGGGAAGGGAUUCAAAACCCUGUCUGUGUUGGAAACUCAUUGGCGCAGUCACACUGGGGAGAGGCCAUUCACCUGCUGAGUGUGGGAAGGGAUUCACCCAGUCACCUCACCUACAGACACACCAGAGAGUUCACACUGGAGUGACACCGUUCACCUGCCCUGAGUGUGGGAGUGGAUUCAGUCAGUUAUUCAGCCUGCAAUCACACCAGUGAGUUCACACUGGAGAGAGGCCGUUCAGAUGUUCUGAAUGUGGGAAGGGAUUCAGGAAUUCAUCCC